rnacentral:lncRNA from 1 species
AGUACCACAGUGAAUGUCCCAAACCAACUAUGCGCAACAUCUACCGUCUUCUUGCCCAACAAUAUGAUCCACUGGGGUAUAUUAUUCCAUACACAACCAGAGCGAAGAUCAUUGUGCAGCGUCUCUGGGACAAGAAGAGAGGUUGGGAUGACCCCAACCUACCUGAAGAUAUCAUUCAAGCUUGGAAAUCAUGGGAAGAAGAGCUUCCUCAGCUGUCACAGAUCACAUUACCCAGAUGCUACACUGAUCACAACAUCGACUGUAGCACCGCCAGCCAGACUAUCCAUGUGUUCUGUGAUGCAUCUGAACGCGCUUACGGAUCUGUGGCAUAUUUGCGCACUGAUACUGGUAAUGGACAAGUUCAAGUCGCAUUCCUAGCUGCCAGGUCCAGAGUUGCACCAAAGAAGCAACUCUCCAUACCCCGACUUGAACUGUGUGGAGCCUUAACUGGAGCACAGUUAGUUUCAGUGUUGCUUAAAGAACUCACCAUCCAGAUCCAAGAGGUAGUAUAUUGGACAGAUUCCACCACAGUACUCAACUGGCUUCAAUCCGAAUCCUGCAGAUUUAAAGUGUUUGUAGGCACAAGAGUCGCAGAGAUACAGGAGUUAUCAGACAUCAGAGCUUGGCGCUACAUUGACUCUGCCUCUAACCCAGCAGAUGACAUUACGAGAGGGAAGACUCUAUCCCAGCUCACUGGAAUGAGUCGCUGGAGUCAUGGACCCUCCUUUCUUCUGCAGUCAUCUGACCAGUGGCCUGAGGCUCCAACUGGCCAAGUCACUGAAGAAACAGAGGAGCUGAGGAGCACAGUGUUUUGUGGCUUGACAACUGAUGCUACAGUUCCACCUAUACCCGACAUCCGGCAGUUCAGUACCUUCCAAGAGCUACUUGAAGUUACUGCGCGAGCACUACAUGGAGCAGCCAGUGACAAACAUCCCACUGCUGAUGAUUAUCAGAAAGCAGAGCUAGAACUACUGAGACAUGCACAAAGGGAAAGCUUCCCUGAAGAGGUGACACUUCUCAAAGCCGGAAAGGCUCUCCCAUCUACCAGCAGAGUGCUCACACUAGCCCCUGAAUAUCACCAGACUUCAGGCUUAAUUCGUGUUGGUGGUAGGCUCCGUAGAUGUGACAGCCUAAGUCCAGAUGUUCUGCA